rnacentral:rRNA from 1 species
GAUGAACGCUGGCGGCGUGCUUAACACAUGCAAGUCGAACGGUGAACACGGAGCUUGCUCUGUGGGAUCAGUGGCGAACGGGUGAGUAACACGUGAGCAACCUGCCCCUGACUCUGGGAUAAGCGCUGGAAACGGCGUCUAAUACUGGAUAUGUGACGUGACCGCAUGGUCUGCGUUUGGAAAGAUUUUUCGAUUGGGGAUGGGCUCGCGGCCUAUCAGCUUGUUGGUGAGGUAAUGGCUCACCAAGGCGUCGACGGGUAGCCGGCCUGAGAGGGUGACCGGCCACACUGGGACUGAGACACGGCCCAGACUCCUACGGGAGGCAGCAGUGGGGAAUAUUGCACAAUGGGCGCAAGCCUGAUGCAGCAACGCCGCGUGAGGGAUGACGGCCUUCGGGUUGUAAACCUCUUUUAGCAGGGAAGAAGCGAAAGUGACGGUACCUGCAGAAAAAGCGCCGGCUAACUACGUG